AGAUCAUGACCUGAGCCGAAGUCGGAUGCUUAACCGACCGAGCCACCCAGGCGCCUCAACCACUGCAUUUUGAAAUGGACUCUUCCUAAAUUGCCACCAAAGAGCAGAUAAAGUGUGACUGGUUAUUAAAAGUAGGUUUUAAUUGGAGGGCUUUGUGGGGAAUCUUCCUCACCCCCUGAAUGUUUGAGAAAGACUUCGCCGUGUAUUACCACCAAAUCAGUUGAUUAGGAGCUUGUAAUCAGUUUGUUGAGUCCCAGGCAACCUUGCCUUUCUUUUCUUUCUUUUUUGCUUGCCUAGAUUGUCAACACCAUUAUCAGAAAGCAGAGGAAGGUAACAAAAGCAAAAGUUUUAUGUAAGCUGUGAAGCAGGGCAACUCAUAAAAGAAAACAGAGCCAUUAGAUGGCGGACCUCCUGGACUUCCCGAGUGGUGCUGGAAUGGAGCUCCUCACAAACUCACAUGGGACACAUGAUGAGACAGAAAAAUAAACUUUUCUUGUGUUGAGGCACUGAAA